CAUGUUACAACCUGCAUGAGCCUUGAGAGCCUUAGGGAAAAGGAAACAAGCCAAUCACGGAAAGACAAAUAUCAUUAUUUUUCCACUUAUAUGCGGGAACUAGAGACAUCAAAUUCUUGGAAGCAGCAAGUACAUGGUGACUACCCAGAAUGGGAGGGGGUGAGGAAUGGAGAUUGUGUUUCAGCAGUAGGGAGAGUUUUAGUGUUUGCAAAAGCUAAAGGUGGACGGUGGAGCUGAACCUACAGCAAUGUCAGAGCACUUUAUACCACACAACUGGGCAUUGCUGAAGAUGCUCACCUCACUUCUAGCCCCUGAGAGAAACUGCAGUCCCUUCCUACCACACCACCUCACAGUUACCACAAGCUGCCUCGCCUCACAGAGUUAACACACAGGGCUGGGCCUGCCCACUGAGUGAAAGGGCAGCUUGAAGGACUGCACAUCAAUCCGGUUCCCACUCCAGGAGGACUCCAUGCCUCCCAGGUGCUGCCUGCUGGUACUCUAGACUGAGUUGCAUUCAUUUCAAGAAAACAAACAUCAAGAGUCUGCAUCGAGGUUGCUCGAAAAAUCAAAAUUAGAGCUUCUAUGUGAGUCAACAAUUCCAUGGAGUACCUCCAUGAAGAAAGCAGGAACACUAAUACGGAGAGACACAUGCAACUCCCUGUCCCCUCAACAUGAUUUACAACAGCAGCGACAGGACAAGCUGAAAUGUCCACUACUUGAUGAACAGGUAAAGAUGAUGUGAUCUAGAGAGAGACUUUAUCCGGGUAUUAAAGAGAAGGCAAUUCUGACAUUUGCAACUACUGGGAUGAAACUUGAGAGCAUUCUGCUAAGUGAAAUGUGUCAGACAAAAACAAAUCAUCUCACUUAUAUGUGGAAUUUUUUUUAAGGG